CCUAAAAACUACAUUCUGCGAAAUUACAGGCUGGGUCACACUUAAGUUAGUCUGCGACUGGACUUUAACCCUGUCUGGGAAACUGCCCUAAAAUGUUUAAUCCUUUUCUCUUUUUCUCUUUUUCAUGGCCUUAGCUCCUGAUUGAUGGUUUCUUGGCCACCUUGGUUCUAUUUCUGGUAGUGGAGUUGGCAUUCUGCAUUGUGACCAUUUUGUGUGGACUUAGUGCUCUGGCAAAAGGUGGCUUGCAGCUGCCUGGUUUCAGACAGCGUGCAGCCCCAUCUCAGCCUGAAGCAGCCACACCCAGCCAACCCCAGGUGGAGGUGAUGGUGUCCGAGGGGGAGCCAGUGCCAGUUUUAGUGCCAGAACGUGAGUCUGACCCCAAAUUUGAGCCGACAGAAGAAAUCCCCAGCCCCCCCACUGAACCUCAGAUUGCCCCCAUUGACUCUUUAACAGACGUUUGAGAUUAUUGAUGUAAUCUGUAUGUAGGCCUAUAUGUAGAUCGUAUUUAGGGUUUUGGCACAAGAGUAUCCCAGUGGACUAUAAUUGUUUUGCUCUAAACGGUCGAGAGUCCAUCUGUCAUGUCACAUUUACAUCUAUGCUGCAAAAGCCAGCACCAGCAUGACUGGUGUAAAUAAUCUUGAAGACUGCUUAAAGAAUGAAAACAUGAACGAAAUGUAAGCAUGCAUAAAGGACUUGACUUAAUCAAAGAUAUUUUUAUUGUUUUGUUUUUUAUUGGAUAUUGUUACCAGGUUAACAUCAUGCAGUAUGUCAAACUCACUAUUAUUCUACAAGUGUAAAUCCAUUUAUUUUGCAACAGUACUAAUAAUAAGGGAGAUGUGUUGCUACAAUAUGUUAAUAUAUUCACAUAAUGCAAUACAUUCCCACAGUUUCAACUUCAUUUACCUCUUAAGUAUUACUCAUUAGAAACCUGAUAUAGACAUGUGACAUUUAGUAACACAAAUCUGUAGGCUCACAAAGUAAGCAAACACAGUAUUUUUGGUAGAAUACUGUUAACCACACAUCUUUCCUGGAAAACGUUGUUCCUUAUUAAGAGUUAAAAAUUGUAUCCAUAUUUGAAUUUGAAAACUAAAACUUUUGUGCUUUAGCGCACGUAAAUCCAGUUCAGUUUAGGAUUAGGCUUUGUCUGUGGAACCAUUUCUGAAAUCUGUAAAAUACAACGAAUGAAAUGAAAAUAUGUUCUAUGUAUGUUUCAGUUUGAUUGCCAUUAUUGAAUUAUAAGGCUUAUAUAGUUCAGGUAAAGUUAAUUCACUUAUUAAACUUACUCAUUAGACUUACAAUAUGUUGCUUUUUUGGUAUUUUUAUUCAUGUGAAAUGCUACUUAAAUAGUCAUUAUCUAAGGUACUAUAGAUCUAACAAAGCCAAAGUAUUUUAUUGUUUGUCUGCUUUACCUAAAAUGUGAAUGAUUUGUUAUUUGCCUUUACAUUUACUGCCUUAGCUAUUGUAUAUCCUUUCAUUUGACAUCCUUUACUAAAAAUAUUGACUGUUCACUUCAUUUUGUUAUUAAUUAUGAUUAUGGCCAUGGUCCUAUUCCUUUUGUUCCCAAAGCAACUGGUGUGACAUUUAACACAUUAUCACAGUUUAAAGUGAAGUGUAUUUGACAGAGGUCUAAAGUAGAGAAAUGUUUUUACUGUACAUUUUGUCAAGUAUCUAUACUUUGUCAGAGUGUUUUCACUUUGGACAAACUUUACUUCACUACACAUUAUAAAGCAUAUCAUCUGUUUUACUCCACCUUAUAAACACAUGUUUACGUUUUUAGUACAUUAAAAAUAUACUUUCUUACUUUUACUCAAAUAAAAGUAAAACUAAAACAUUACUAGAAAAUGUUGAUGUAGUUCAAGUUCGUUUAUAGAGCACAUUUAAAAACGGCCCCAGGCUGACCUAAGUGCUGUACAUGUGCAAAUAAUACUGUUAUAAUGUUGGAUUAGGUUAAAUUGUGUUGAAUGUGUAGUUCUCUAUGUACAAAUGCAUAGUAGUGUAUUAGCCAAUCACGUGCUGUUACGUCACUGUACGGGGACAGGUUCAGUUUGUUGUGUUAAGAGAGUGUGCUCGCAUGUUCCGGUGCGGAUGGUUGAGAAGAAUCCCAUCAGCGCCGGGCAAGAGCAUAACCCCGUUAUUGUACACUUUAUUUACUUUAUAUACAAGUAAAGUGACUGAAAUGAUCAUCUGUGUUGUGUGCCUCUCUUCACUCCUCCACGGACACACAGAGAACACAAUAAGGGAGAGCAUAACAAUACUAAGAAAUUAUUAACACAAAUAAUAUUUGAAACACAAUAGAAAAUAAAACAAACAAACCAAAAGCCAAGAAUAAAAAUCAAGGACAAUCUUCAUAGGCUAAAAGCAAGAGAGAAUAAAUAAGUUUUAAGAUGGGAUUUCAAUUCAGACAAAGAAGAAACCGAUCUAAUAAUGUAGGGCCAACCACUUCUUAAGCACGGUUACCCCUUGAUUUCAGCUGAAUUCUGGGUUUUGUAUGGAGGAGCUUAGAUUCAGAUCUGAGGCUUCUAGCGGGAGAAUAUAGAUGUAAAAGGUCGGACAGAUAAGCAGGGGCUAGAUCAUUAAGUGAUUUAUAGUGAUUCAUCAUUGGGACCCAUCAUACAGGCUCACGGCUUCUCGUAUCACUGUUAUGCUGACGACACCCAGAUCUAAGUCUUGUUUCACCCAGACGAUACCACUGUAGCAACUCUCAUUACAGCCUGCCUAGAAGACAUCUCUUCUUGGAUGAAAGAGCAUCACCUCCAGCUGAACCCUGCCAAGACAGAACUACUCGUGUUUUCCGGCACUGCAACACUAUCUCACCAUCCAACUUGGCAAUACCACAAUCACUCCUUCCAAAACAGCCAGGAAGCUCGGAGUCAUAUUUGAUGAACAGCUGUCCUUCAAUGAUCACAUUGCAAAGACAACGCAGUCAUGCCGAUAUGCCUUAUUCAACAUUGGAAAGGUUAGACCCUAUUUCACUGAGCAUGCGGCACAACUCCUUGUCCAGGCCCUGGUAAUCUCAAGGUUGGACUACUGCAAUGGCUAUCAAACCACUCCAGCUGGUUCAGAUCGCAGCAGCACGCCUCGUCUUCCAACAGCCUAAAAGGGCUCAUGUGACAGCCCUUUUCAUCUCUCUCCACUGGCUACCGGUUGAAGCCCGUAUCAGAUUCAAGUUACUAAUGCUUGCCUACAGGACUAUCACUGGAUCUGCACCAGCAUACUUUCACACCCUCCUACACCCCAUCAAGAACCCUGCGUUCAGCAAACCAGCGGCGUCUUGUAUUGCCUUCUCAUAAGGGCAGUAAAUCGCUUUCCCGCUCAUUCUCCUUCACAACUCUUUCCUGGUGGAACAUUCUUCCUAACUCAGUCCGGUCAACCACAUCUCUCACAACAUUCAAAAAAUGCCCAUCUCUUCUGUGAAUACUUGACAGAAAAAAAAGAGAAAAAAAAGAAAAGUAAACACUAACCCUCUCUCUUUCUCUCAACAGGUAUUGAUCUAGCUUUUGUUGAAACUAGUAACUUUGUAUUAGCACAUAUCGUAUUAUUGCUCCUGUAUGACAUAUCGCUUAUUGCUCCCUGAACUCUCUGUAAGUCGCUUUGGAUAAAAGUAUCUGCUAAAUGACUAAACGUAAAUGUUUGUAUAUGUGUACUGAAUAUGUAUACUUCUUCCACUGCACUGUUACUUAGAUAGCUUCUGUCCAUAAUCUAUUUGCACUACUCUAUAUCCAUUGCAAUACUGCUAUAACUGCUAUAACUUAUCGUAUAUACCCAUCUGUAAAUUUCCUGUUUAUAGUAAUAGCCACCUGUAUACGUAUUAUAUUCAUUGUACAUACCCAUCUGUAAACUACUUCCAUAAUACUGUUUUUUCCUGCACUUAUGCAACCUCUGUAUAUCCUGCACUUGCUGCUAUUGCACUUCUGGUUAGACAAAACUACAUUCCGUUGCCUUGUACUUGUACACGUGUAAUGACAAUAAAUUUGAAUCUAAUCUAAUCUAAAAGUUUGUGUGUGUGUGUGUGUAUGUUUACAGUUUGAAAGAAAGACAUAAUAUUUUACAUAUUUUUUAAAUCGCAA